rnacentral:snRNA from 1 species
GGAUGUGAGGGCGAUCUGGCUGCGACAUCUGUCACCUCAUUGAUCAUUAGGGUUGAUUUGGCUGAUCUGGCUGGCUACGCGGGUGUCCCCUUCCUCCCUCACCACUGUGCGCUCGGUCGAAGAGUAUGGCCUUCCCUGAAUAGAGACAGACUUGUUUGGUAGGGUAUACGAGUAGCUGUGUUCUCCUGCUAGAACCUCAAACAAGCUCCCAAGGUCCUAUUAGCAUUGUGUCUUAAACUUACUGUUAAUAAAUAAUAAGUGGUAUUUUACAUCACAUAGUUU